UUGUAAGCAAAAAUCUACAUUUUAGAUUCAUUCAAUUAAUGAUGUAUAUGGUCUUUAUUAUGGACCACAUACAUCAUUUAAUGAAUUAAUCUAAAAUGUUGAUUUUUGCUUAUAA
rfam:Medicago truncatula strain A17 chromosome 2, whole genome shotgun sequence.